ACUUAUUAUCAAAACAAACAACAACAACAAAAACAACUGUGUCUCUUUCCUCUACUCUCUCUCUUUCUCUCGCUCUCUUCUUCCUUCUUCCGUCUCACCGCCUGAAUUCCUCUUCUAUUGCUCCCCAAAUCCAAAUGCAAUCAUCAACUUUCUCUCUCCUACGAUGCCCUAAUCUUCAUCUUUCGCGCUGAUUUUCCCCCCAAAUUUGGUUUAUUCAAUCUCUAAUCUUCCAGGUUUUAAUUUAGGGUUUUCUCAAAAUUCGGUGGCAUUCAUAAAUUAGGGUUUUGGUGAGGUUUUUUGGGUUAAUUUGAUGUUAUCUUCAUGGCUCCUGCGCGCAAAAAAGGAGCCAAUAAAGUGAAGUCUGCUAACGAAUUGUGUCUCGGCGAUCUCGUCCUUGCUAAGGUCAAGGGCUUUCCUGCUUGGCCAGCUAAGGUUAGCAGACCAGAAGACUGGGAGCGAGCUCCUGACUCAAAAAAGUAUUUCGUACAGUUCUUUGGAACUCAAGAAAUAGCUUUUGUUGCUCCGCCUGAUGUUCAAGCAUUUACCAGUGAGUCAAAGAAUAAAUUACUGGCUAGAUGCAAAGGGAAAACUGUCAAAUAUUUUGCUCAAGCUGUUAAGGAAAUAUGUGAAGCAUUUGAACAGCUGCGAAAAAGUGAUUUAAGUAGUCGUGCUGACAACGCAGCAGCUUGUGGACAUGAUGCUUAUAAUAUUGAAGCAGGGAAUGUCAAUGGUUCCCAUGCCGAGUUGCGCAAAAGACCUAAAUCUGAAGAAGUAUAUGCUAGUGAUUAUGUAUUAGAUCACGUCCCUGGGUUGGGGGGCUGUCCUAGUGUGAAAGAUUUGUUGAAACCUGCUGCUGCUGCCGAAGAAUCUAAGAAAUCUGGUGAUUAUAGUGAAAUGCUUCAGAAAGAUACAGAUACGGGUAGGGAUUUUCCAACUGUAGCAUCAGUUCGUAGUGCACUUGUUCCUUCCUCCGUUAAGGAAGAAAUAGCUUUAGGUGAGAACAAAGCAGAUACGGUUAUCCAUCUUGAACGAAUUGAGUCCUCAAAGGCCUCAAGUUCCAGUCCAUACAGCAGUCAUUCUGACAUUAAAUGGGUUAAUCAUCAUGGGGACGGUAAAAGAGAUACUCUAAUGUCAUUAGGACCUUCAGGUCAUAAGCUUUCUGCUGGUGGGAAUAAGAAGUCAGCAAAUGGACAUAAGUCACUGGAUAUGAUUGCUGGGGCCAAGAGGAAAAUCGAGGGUGUGAUCCGUCAAACUGACGAUGCCAAAUCCGGCGUGCUAGUUAAGGAUCGGAUACCUGGGAAACUCUCGGCUGGCAUACAUGCAAAACGAUUGUCUUCAGGUGUAAACAAGUCGGAGUCUAGUCCUCGUGGGAAGGUCUUGCAAAGCCUGCUCAAAGAGCAGAAGCUUGUCGAUGUUGGUAAAUACUCUCCACAGGAUGCGGUUGCUGCUUCGAAGGAAUGUGGAGAUGCGGAGUAUUCAAGACGAAAAGAUCGUCAAAUUAGCCAGGAACAGUCACCGUCAGUAAAGAAGGCUAAGCAUGUGCACAUAAUGUGUGACACUGCCAAAGGCUCAAUAAUCAAGAGUGAAAAAAGUGAUUUGGAACCUGAAAUCUCUAGUGAGGAAGCUGCUUUUUCUGUAACAAAGCGUCAUCGCCGAGCAUUGGAGGCCACGUCUGAUGCAAAUAUUUCAUCUGAAGAUAAAAGAAGUCUUGGUCUUAGAACUGGGAAAAGUGAUGUUCCUAAGAAAAGAAGAGCUGUUUGUUUGGUCAAUGAUGACGAUGAUGAUGAUGAGCCUAAAACUCCAGUUCAUGGAAGGACUUUGUCUGCCUCCAAAGUUGUUUCAUCUGCAGUAAUUCCAGAUUCUACAAAGAAGACUGAUGAAAAUCAUGCAUCUCUUAGUAGUGGUGGAGAAACUCUGAAAGUUUCAAUUAGAGAUGGAGGUGGCUCUCAGAAGGAUUGCCUUUCAUCUGGUAAGUUGGUUGGCCAGUCUUCUAUAUCUGCCACUAUGCAGCUUAAGGUAGACAAUACCAAAGCACACGUGUCUCACAGCCCUGGAAAGGAAGAAUUGGACAAGCGGCUGGUAAAGGAGGGUAAGAUGGAUUUGCUAUCCCCGGCAAAAUCUCCUUUGGUAGCUGCUGUUGUCAAGAGGAUGGGUGACCAACAAAAAUCUAAUAGAAUGACCAUCAAAGGGAGCAGCAGUUUGAAUUCUAAUAGUAAGGCUCAAAAUGUGCCUGGUAAAGAUUCGAGAGCUGUUUCCGGCGGGUCAAACUCUUCCCAGAGUCAGGUGUCUUCCCAGAAGAGUAGGCAGCCUUUGUCUGGGGAGAGGGCAAAAAGUUUUCCCAAAAUGUUGCCUGGGUUGAGUGAGCCAUAUUCUUCUGUUGAUAACCAGAAGGAUCAUGAUUCUGCAGUAGUUGAUGAAAGGUUGGAAGAUGCUAAGGACAGAUCUGGCUCUGUGGCGGAUUCAAAGGCCUUAGACUCUGCAAUGUCUAUAAGACAUUUAAUUGCUGCAGCUCAGGCUAAAAGGCGACAAGCUAAUAUACAAACUGUUCCUCAGGGUAAUGGAGAUUCUGUGCUUGUGUCGACUACCAAUCUUCACGGAAAUAGUCCAAGUCCAUUGUCUCGAGGCCCUGAUAUUCCAUCUGCUAUGGACGAGGUUGAUGCUCAGGGAGCUCAUCUCCGUGGAUCGUGUGGCUCACCGCCUGCUCAUAUUGGUCAAUUGGCUUCUCAUGAUCAAUUAGACUCUGAAGAACCUGAAAUUAAGGGACCUGGCUCAGGACACCAGGCUGCUGGAAGUACUCUGAGUGGCGGCACAGAAGCAGCGGUUGCUCGUGAUGCUUUUGAAGGAAUGAUUGAGACAUUAUCAAGGACCAAGGAAAGUAUUGGACGUGCUACCCGUCUCGCAAUUGAUUGUGCCAAGUAUGGAAUUGCUAAUGAGGUUGUGGAACUGCUCAUCCAUAAGUUAGAAAACGAGCCUAACUUUCACAGGAGAGUGGAUCUCUUUUUCUUGGUGGACUCUAUCACCCAAUGUUCACAUAGUCAAAAAGGCAUUGCUGGUGCCUCAUAUAUUCCUAUCGUCCAGGCAGCGUUGCCUCGUCUUUUAGGUGCAGCUGCUCCAUUUGGAGCUAAUGCCCGGGAGAAUCGCCGACAGUGCCUGAAGGUCUUGCGGUUGUGGCUUGAGAGAAAAAUUCUGCCAGAGGCAGUUCUUCGUCGUUUCAUGGAUGAUAUUGGUAGUUCAAAUGAUGAAAUGAGUAGCGGGAUUUCCUUUAGACGUCCUUCAAGAGCUGAGCGAUCGGUGGACGACCCUAUUAGAGAAAUGGAGGGUAUGCUUGUUGAUGAAUAUGGGAGCAAUGCUACUUUCAAUUUGCCUGGAUUUUUAUCUGCUCAUGGAUUUGUUGAUGACGAUGAAGAUGAAGAUGAAGAAGAGAAUGGUGUUCCCAGUACUUCUCUCAAGCAAUCUGAUGCGUCUCCAAUGCAACCUUCCAAUAAUUCGGCAGGGCUUGACAUUAGCAAAGAUACUCCAAAUGAUAGGCGUCACCACAUCUUGGAGGAGGUGGAUGGUGAGCUUGAGAUGGAAGAUGUUUGUCUUAAGGAUGGAGCAACCUCACCAAGUGGUUCAUCAAAGAAAGAUAAACAAGAGAUGAAGUUGGAUACUCAGUUGGAGUAUUCCACUAAUGAUUUUGUUGGGUCCCCAUCAUUGGAUGGUUCUCCACCAUUGCCUUUUGAAUCUCCUCCCCCUCUUCCCCCUUUACCUACUUCACCACCUCCUCCUCCACCGCCACCUUUAUCUCCUUCCCCUCCACCACCCCCACCUCCACUGACGCUGCCCUCACAUAUUCCUCCGCCUUCUUUGGUGUCAUCAGGGCCUCUGCAGCCUAGUAUUCUUCAGCCUGUUCUUCACCCACAGGCUUCUAUGGCUCCUCGAGUGGUACUGUUGCCUCCCUCUGUAGUUCCUCCUAUGCAGGCUCCUUUACCUCCCGAUUACAGCAUACCAACUGGUAGCCACCCUGUCCAGAUUGCUUGCAACACACCUCAGCAAGUGCCUUGUUUUCCUGCUGGAGCAUCUGGUUCACAUGACACACCUGGAUAUAGUUCUGUGUAUGCAGUACCACUGGCUGGUCCGUCCAACCAGCAGUUUCAGCAAAACCAACAAUUUCAGCCUAGUCAGGCAACAUUUGUACAAAGAGCUUUUCCACCUGUAACGAUGCCUCAACCCCCGGCAGGCCAUUUUGCUUACAAGCCCACACCUCAACAACAAAUGCCACAACCCCGGUCCCAUCCACCACCUCCUCCAGCCCCUUGCCAUCCAUACACAUCAGCUUCUCAUUCUGAAGGUUUGAGACGGUUUGGUGAUGAACAGUGGAUAUCUGCCUCUGCCGAGUAUAAAACAGAUAGUCAGCAUAAUUCAUGGAUGAAUGGAGGGAGAAUGCCAUCAUGUCCACCAACAAAUUUUAUGGGUGAAGCAUAUUUUCGACCGCCGGAGAGGGCACUGGCGGAUAGCAUGGGAUACCAAGUCUCAGCUCCUGUAAUGACAGGUCCAACAACAUCAGGACAUGGUAUCAAUCAGAUGUUGCCUUCGCGACCAGAUAUGUCGUCUCUUAAUUGGAGGCCAGCGUAGGAGUGAGAUUGUAGUCGAGCUGUUCAAUUCAAUGUCUUGGGGCUGCAAGGACUGGGCAUAAAUUUUUUUCUUGUAUGAAUCUUCCCAUGACUUGGCAUACAGGGAGAUGCAAGUAUCCGAAAGAAAAUGUGGAUAUCCUGAUGGACAUUUUAGAGUAUUUUUUAUCUGAGAAAUCAACUCCUGCUGAUAUUUGCCUCCCAAUGUUUUGCUGAUAUUGUAUUUUGUUUAAAUAUGACCCGUCACUAUGUGGAGCAUGAUCUGAACAUUCUGGCAGAUAAAUGGUGGCUAUCUUGGAGGUAAAACUCUUAAUUUGAAGCUUGACAGAUAAUUUAUUUUGACAUGAGCGAUUAUGCAAGAUUUCUACAUAGUGUAGUUUUGAAGGUAGUAUUCAUACGUUAACAUCAAGUUUCUGCUGUAUAUACUGUGACUAACAACACUGCACAGAUUCCUUGGUUCAUUUUGUAAAUACUUUCAUUUGACCACCCAUUGUUUGGUAUUUAAGAAUAAUUUGGUUGA